UACGGAGGGUGCAAGCGUUAUCCGGAUUUACUGGGUUUAAAGCGUGCGCAGGCGGGCUUUUAAGCCAGACGUGAAAUCCCCGGGCUUAACCUGGGAAUGGCGUUUGGGACUGGGAGUCUGGAGUGCGGCAGAGGAGACUGGAAUUCCUGGUGUAGCAGUGAAAUGCGUAGAUAUCAGGAGGAACACCGAUGGCGAAGGCAGGUCUCUGGGCUGACACUGACGCUCAUGCACGAAAGCGUGGGGAGCAAACAGG
rnacentral:rRNA from 1 species